AACGAACGCUGGCGGCGCGCCUAAUACAUGCAAGUCGAGCGAGAAGGUGUAGCAAUACACUUGUAAAGCGGCGAACGGGUGAGGAAUGCAUGGGUAACCUACCCUCGAGUGGGGAAUAACUAGCCGAAAGGUUAGCUAAUACCGCAUACGUUUCCGGAACUUCGGUUUCGGAAAGAAAGCGAUACCGUGGGUAUUGCGCUCCUGGAUGGGCUCAUGUCCUAUCAGCUUGUUGGUGAGGUAACGGCUCACCAAGGCUUCGACGGGUAGCUGGUCUGAGAGGACGAUCAGCCACACUGGCACUGCGACACGGGCCAGACUCCUACGGGAGGCAGCAGUAAGGAAUAUUGCGCAAUGGACGAAAGUCUGACGCAGCGACGCCGCGUGGGGGAUGAAGGUCUUUGGAUUGUAAACCCCUUUCGGGAGGGAAGAUGGAGUGGGUAACCACUUGGACGGUACCUCCAGAAGCAGCCACGGCUAACUUCGUGCCAGCAGCCGCGGUAA
rnacentral:rRNA from 1 species